rnacentral:lncRNA from 13 species
UGGUCGUUUGUAUAUGUUUAGAGUAGUUAUGAGACAGGUACACAGCAUAUAAAAGAAAUGACAAAAGAUGAAGCCUACCUGUUAAACAAAGGCAAGAAAGGGAUGGAUAUUUGAAGUAAUUUUCACUAUAUUCUGGACCUUGAAAAUUAUUAGAAUUUGAUUUCAAGUUGCCAGGAUAAUAAGCCUGCAUUGAGUUAGCUGAAGAGUGUGGGGAAAAAAAAGAGAAAAAAGCCCCCCCAAAUUUUUAAAAAGUCUCUGGGUGUUGGUCAUUUUCCUGAAAUAGCCUUUAGCUGGAAUGUCAGAGCGAGCUUGGGAUAGUAGGGCUGUGGCUUGUUUCUUUUCACCUGCUCCAGGCUCUUUAGGCAGCCUCUUUUAAUAGCCUGCUACCUGUUGCUGCCCUUACUGUAAGAGGAAGGAAGGAAGAAAGACUACAAGCAGCAGCAAAAGGCCAGAGAAUGACCAGGUGGUAAAGUGCCUGUGUAAGCGCAGAGGCAGGAGGUGAGAGGGUAACAGGCUGGGAGAAGACCACUCCUCUUAUAUUCCCAGCCAUCUAUGCCUGGAGCCAACCCUGGAAGCUGAGAGACAGUCUAUUGGUUCUCUGUCUUCUGGUGCAUUUGGACCACCUGAAAGGACAACCUGUCAGAAUGGAGGCCACACUCAUACACAGCUCUUAGGACUGUGGAAGACUGUCUGGGUCAGGGAUCAAGAUGAUCAUGCUCAAAAGACAACACAGAGUUCAGUGCCACACAAUUGCUGUGUUCUCUCUCCCCUAAUGACCAGAGACACUCUGUACCAUGCUGCCACUGCUGGAUGUUGGAAAGGGGUUCAUAGAAUAUUAUACUGUCCAGCUCCUGAACUUAGGUGUGGCCAUGUGACUAUUGUGACCAAUACAGUUAAAAGAAACAUCCUUUAAUUCUGGGUAGAAAUAUCAACCAUGGGCACUUGAUUCUCUAGCAUUCUGUUCUCCUGCUAGCAUGUUGUGAAAGCAUUUGUUAAUAUAGAGGUGCUGUAAGAUCCAAAGAGCAGAAAUUGCUGAGCCAACAGUGGAGGACAGCUCCUCAGAGAGUUGUCUGCAGAGAACUUAGUUGUUGGAGCUGGAGGUUGUUUGCUAUCACAGAAAACCUAACCUGUUUUUAUUUAUGCAUUUACUUCUGAUGGGUAAGAGAAGGGGCUCUAAAUAUUUAUGUUAACAUUCUUCACACUUGCAUCUUCUCAUUGAAUUAUCAAAACAGCCCCGUAAAUUGGUACCACAUUUACAUCGACUUUGUAGAUAAGGAUACAAUAGCUCAGGGAAGUGAAGUUGCACCAGGGCAGUAACUUCUAAAAGGGCAGAACUGGGGCUUAGCCCCAGGUCAGAGCCCAUGCUCCUUUGACCCUACACUCUGUUGCCUCCAGUAGUAUUUGUUCAUCUGCCAAGUAAAGCACUAAACACUUUCCUGUUUGACAUCACAGUCCUCACACAUCUGAUGAGCACCAGUUGUGUUCACAGCCUCAUCCCAGAUGGUUGCAUAAUAAAUUUAAUGAUAGAAGAGGUGUUAUUAUCUUC